rnacentral:rRNA from 1 species
AAUACGAAGGGACCUAGCGUAGUUCGGAAUUACUGGGCUUAAAGAGUUCGUAGGUGGUUGAAAAAGUUGGUGGUGAAAUCCCAGAGCUUAACUCUGGAACUGCCAUCAAAACUUUUCAGCUAGAGUAUGAUAGAGGAAAGCAGAAUUUCUAGUGUAGAGGUGAAAUUCGUAGAUAUUAGAAAGAAUACCAAUUGCGAAGGCAGCUUUCUGGAUCAUUACUGACACUGAGGAACGAAAGCAUGGGUAGCGAAGAGGAUUAGAUACCCUCGUAGUCCAUGCCGUAAACGAUGUGUGUUAGACGUUGGAAAUUUAUUUUCAGUGUCGCAGCGAAAGCGAUAAACACACCGCCUGGGGAGUACGACCGCAAGGUUAAAACUCAAAUGAAUUGACGGGGACCCGCACAAGUAGUGGAGCAUGUGGUUUAAUUCGAAGAUACGCGCAGAACCUUACCAACACUUGACAUGUUCGUCGCGACUUUAAGAGAUUAAAGUUUUCGGUUCGGCCGGACGAAACACAGGUGCUGCAUGGCUGUCGUCAGCUCGUGUCGUGAGAUGUUGGGUUAAGUCCCGCAACGAGCGCAACCCUCACUUUUAGUUGCCAUCAUUAAGUUGGGCACUCUGAAAGAACUGCCAGUGAUAAGCUGGAGGGAGGUGGGGAUGACGUCAAGUCCUCAUGGCCCUUACGUGUUGGGCUACACACGUGCUACAAUGGUAUCUACAACAGGAAGCAAAACGGCGACGUUAAGCAAAUCCUUAAAAGAUACCUCAGUUCGGAUUGCACUCUGCAACUCGAGUGCAUGAAGCUGGAAUUACUAGUAAUCGUGGAUCAGCGUGCCACGGUGAAUGCGUUCCCGGGUCUUGUACACACCGCCCGUCACACCAUGGGAGUUGGUUCUACCUUAAGGCAAGGUUUAAAACCCUUGACCACGGUAUAGUCAGCGACUGG